rnacentral:rRNA from 1 species
CUACGGGACGCAGCAGUGAGGAAUAUUGCGCAAUGGGGGAAACCCUGACGCAGCGACGCCGCGUGGAUGAUGAAGGCCUUAGGGUCGUAAAAUCCUGUCAGGUGGGAAGAAGUGGAUAUAGAUUAAUACUCUAUUUCUUUGACGGUACCACCAAAGGAAGCACCGGCUAACUCCGUGCCAGCAGCCGCGGUAAUACGGAGGGUGCAAAGGUUGUUCGGAAUUACUGGGCGUAAAGCGCGCGUAGGCGGUUUGUUAAGUCAGAUGUGAAAGUCCCUGGCUCAACUAGGGAAGUGCAUUUGAACUGGCAGACUUGAGUACUGGAGGGGGUGAUGGAAUUCCCGGUGUAGAGGUGAAAUUCGUAGAUAUCGGGAGGAAUACCGGUGGCGAAGGCGAUCACCUGGCCAGAUACUGACGCUGAGGUGCGAAAGCGUGGGGAGCAAACAGGAUUAGAUACCCUCGUAGUC